UACGUAGGGGGGCAAGCGUUGUCCGGAAUCAUUGGGCGUAAAGAGCGUGUAGGCGGCUUGGUAAGUCCGCUGUGAAAGUCCAGGGCUCAACCCCUGGAAUGCCGGUGGAAACUGUCAGGCUCGAGUCCGGAAGAGGCGAGUGGAAUUCCUGGUGUAGCGGUGAAAUGCGCAGAUAUCAGGAGGAACACCAAUGGCGAAGGCAGCUCGCUGGGACGGUACUGACGCUGAGACGCGAAAGCGUGGGGAGCAAACAGG
rnacentral:rRNA from 1 species